AGAAUCAACGCUGGCGGCGUGCCUAACACAUGCAAGUCGAACGAGAAAGUGGAGCAAUCCAUGAGUACAGUGGCGUACGGGUGAGUAACACGUGACUAACCUACCCUCGAGUGGGGAAUAACCUAGGGAAACCUGGGCUAAUACCGCAUAACAUCUUCGGAUCAAAUGCGUAAGCAGCUUGAGGAGGGGGUCGCGGCCGAUUAGCUAGUUGGCGGGGUAAUGGCCCACCAAGGCAAUGAUCGGUAGCCGGCCUGAGAGGGCGCACGGCCACACUGGAACUGAAACGCGGUCCAGACUCCUACGGGAGGCAGCAGUGGGGAAUUUUGCGCAAUGGGGGAAACCCUGACGCAGCAACGCCGCGUGGAGGAUGAAGCCCCUUGGGGCGUAAACUCCUUUCGACCAAGACGAUAAUGACGGUACUGGUGGAAGAAGCACCGGCUAACUCUGUGCCAGCAGCCGCGGUAAUACGGAGGGUGCAGGCGUUGUUCGGAAUUAUUGGGCGUAAAGGGCGCGUGGGCGGCGCGGUAAGUCACCUGUGAAAUCUCCAAGCUUAACUUGGAGCCUGCAGGCGAAACUGCCGUGCUGGAGUAUGGGAGAGGUGCGUGGAAUUCCCGGUGUAGCGGUGAAAUGCGUAGAUAUCGGGAGAACACCUGUGGCGAAAGCGGCGCACUGGACCAUAACUGACGCUGAGGCGCGAAAGCUAGGGGAGCAACAGGAUUAGAUACCCUGGUAGUCCACGCCCUAAACGAUGCAUACUUGGUGUGAGCGAUUCAUUUCGUUCGUGCCGGAGCUAACGCGUUAAGUAUGCCGCCUGGGGAGUACGGUCGCAAGGCUGAA
rnacentral:rRNA from 1 species